rnacentral:rRNA from 1 species
GCUCAGGAUGAACGCUGGCGGCGUGCUUAACACAUGCAAGUCGAACGGUGAAAGCGGAGCUUGCUCCUGCUGGAUCAGUGGCGAACGGGUGAGUAACACGUGAGCAAUCUGCCCUUGACUCUGGGAUAAGCGCUGGAAACGGCGUCUAAUACCGGAUACGAGCUGCGAAGGCAUCUUCAGCAGCUGGAAAGAACUUCGGUCAAGGAUGAGCUCGCGGCCUAUCAGCUUGUUGGUGAGGUAACGGCUCACCAAGGCGUCGACGGGUAGCCGGCCUGAGAGGGUGACCGGCCACACUGGGACUGAGACACGGCCCAGACUCCUACGGGAGGCAGCAGUGGGGAAUAUUGCACAAUGGGCGCAAGCCUGAUGCAGCAACGCCGCGUGAGGGACGACGGCCUUCGGGUUGUAAACCUCUUUUAGCAGGGAAGAAGCGAAAGUGACGGUACCUGCAGAAAAAGCACCGGCUAACUACGUGCCAG